UUGAAUGGUAGCUGCAGUUAGGACUUUGUAUCCUAGCAAUACCUACUCGAGUUAAUUGGCCAAUAAGAGAAGACAUGGCUGGUGAUCUCCACAUGGCCUGCUGUUAGGGGUUAAGUGGCGGGGGGGGGCUUCGAGUCGUAGGAGAUGUUGGCGAUGUGGAGAGAGAGAGAUAGGGAAGGAUUUAGCUGCUACUUCGGCGUUGCAGGUAAUCCAGACCAGACAAGGGUGGUAGUGCGACGGCAGUAAUUGUUAGUGGAAAAGGUGGCGAUCACGGAUUACGCUGGAGUCCUUAAAUACUCC
rnacentral:misc_RNA from 1 species